UACAGAGGGUGCGAGCGUUAUUCGGAUUUAUUGGGCGUAAAGCGCGUGUAGGCUGUUUUGUAAGUCUGAUGUGAAAUCCCAGAGCUCAAAUCUGGAAGUGCAUUGGAUACUGCAAAACUAGAGUACAGGAGAGGAGAGCGGAAUUCCUGGUGUAGAGGUGAAAUGCGCAGAUAUCAGGAGGAACACCGGUGGCGAAGGCGGGUCUCUGGGCAAUAACUGACGCUGAGGAGCGAAAGCGUGGGGAGCGAACAGG
rnacentral:rRNA from 1 species